GCCGAGAUGGUGAAACUGGUAGACACGCAAGCCUCAGAUGCUUGUGGAGGUAACUCUGUGGAGGUUCGAGUCCUCUUCUCGGCACCA
rnacentral:tRNA from 1 species